GAGUUUGAUCUUGGCUCAGAUUGAACGCUGGCGGCAUGCCUUACACAUGCAAGUCGAGCGGCAGCAUGAUCUAGCUUGCUAGAUUGAUGGCGAGUGGCGAACGGGUGAGUAAUACAUCGGAACGUGCCCUGUAGUGGGGGAUAACUAGUCGAAAGAUUAGCUAAUACCGCAUACGACCUGAGGGUGAAAGUGGGGGACCGCAAGGCCUCAUGCUAUAGGAGCGGCCGAUGUCUGAUUAGCUAGUUGGUGGGGUAAAGGCCCACCAAGGCGACGAUCAGUAGCUGGUCUGAGAGGACGAUCAGCCACACUGGGACUGAGACACGGCCCAGACUCCUACGGGAGGCAGCAGUGGGGAAUUUUGGA
rnacentral:rRNA from 1 species